rnacentral:lncRNA from 1 species
AUGGCCUCAGCCCCUGGACUCACUGCUUCGCAACCCAUCUGCCCUUGGACCAAUUACCUGGCUUUGAAUAUGAUGCAGGGGCAGACACCUGCUGAUAUAGCAACUGUCAUUGCCCCAAAUUCCCAUGAUAUGGGAGUUUCAGGGCAGCCUGCCUGGAGGAAGACACACAGAUUCUGCCUAAAACAGUACCAUCCUGACUCAGCAGUUGUUCACCACCAGGCAACCAGCGUUGCCUCCGGCGGGAUUGCUGACCCACAACAGGUACAUUCUAGCUCCAGAUCUCUCCAAGCCCCAGAGACCUGGUGCCACAGUCCCAACAUGCCCUCCAGGUCUCCACAGGAUCAUUACGUCACCGAUGAAUCUACCUUCUUAACUUGCUUUCACUGAUAGUUUC